AUGAGUGGCGAACGGGUGAGUAACACGUGGGGAAUCUGCCUAGGAGUGGGGGAUAACAUUCGGAAACGGAUGCUAAUACCGCAUAUCUUCAUAGACCGCAUGGUCUAUGAAUGAAAGACGGCUUUGCUGUCGCUCUUAGAUGAUCCCGCGGCGUAUUAGUUAGUUGGUGGGGUAAAGGCCUACCAAGACAAUGAUACGUAGCCGACCUGAGAGGGUGAUCGGCCACACUGGGACUGAGACACGGCCCAGACUCCUACGGGAGGCAGCAGUAGGGAAUCUUCCACAAUGGGUGCAAACCUGAUGGAGCAAUGCCGCGUGAAUGAAGAAGGUCUUCGGAUCGUAAAGUUCUGUUAUUAGUGAAGAACAAAUCGAGGAGUAACUGUCUCGAUUUUGACGGUAACUAACCAGAAAGUCACGGCUAACUACGUGCCAGCAGCCGCGGUAAUACGUAGGUGACAAGCGUUGUCCGGAAUUAUUGGGCGUAAAGGGAGCGCAGGCGGUUGGAAUAGUCUGAUGUGAAAGCCCACGGCUUAACCGUGGAAGGUCAUUGGAAACUGUCCAACUUGAAUGCAGAAGAGGUAAGUGGAAUUCCAUGUGUAGCGGUGAAAUGCGUAGAUAUAUGGAGGAACACCAGUGGCGAAGGCGACUUACUGGUCUGUAAUUGACGCUGAGGCUCGAAAGCGUGGGUAGCGAACAGGAUUAGAUACCCUGGUAGUCCACGCCGUAAACGAUGAGUGCUAAGUGUUGGAGGGUGUCCGCCCUUCAGUGCUGGAGUUAACGCAUUAAGCACUCCGCCUGGGGAGUACGGCCGCAAGGCUGAAACUCAAAGGAAUUGACGGGGACCCGCACAAGCGGUGGAGCAUGUGGUUUAAUUCGAUGCUCCGCGAAGAACCUUACCUGGGUUUGACAUAACAGUGGUAGAGAAGUGAAAACGGAUCGACCCUUCGGGGAGCUGUUACAGGUGUUGCAUGCCUGUCGUCAGCUCGUGUCGUGAGAUGUUCGGUUAAGUCCGCUAACGAGCGCAACCCGCGCUGUGUGUUACAAGUGUCACACAGUACCGCCGGUAUUAAGUCGGAGGAAGGUGCGGAUGACGUCAAGUCAGCAUGACCUUUAUAUCCAGGGCUACACACACGCUACAAUGGUCAGAGCAAUAGGUUGCCAAGCCGCAAGGCGGAGCCAAUCCUCCAAAUCUGGCCUCAGUUCAGAUUGCAGGCUGCAACUCGCCUGCAUGAAGUCGGAGUUGCUAGUAACCGCAGGUCAGCAUACUGCGGUGAAUACGUUCCCGGGGAUUGCACACACCGCCCGUCA
rnacentral:rRNA from 1 species